GUGCACGCUUGAGGUAGGACGCACCCCUGCCGGUCGAACGGCAGCACCGUAAGAGCUUGCUCUUACGGGUGGCGAGUGGCGGACGGGUGAGGAAUACAUCGGAAUCUACUUUUUCGUGGGGGAUAACGUAGGGAAACUUACGCUAAUACCGCAUACGACCUACGGGUGAAAGCAGGGGAUCUUCGGACCUUGCGCGAUUGAAUGAGCCGAUGUCGGAUUAGCUAGUUGGCGGGGUAAAGGCCCACCAAGGCGACGAUCCGUAGCUGGUCUGAGCGGAUGAUCAGCCACACUGGAACUGAGACACGGUCCAGACUCCUACGGGAGGCAGCAGUGGGGAAUAUUGGACAAUGGGCGCAAGCCUGAUCCAGCCAUACCGCGUGGGUGAAGAAGGCCUUCGGGUUGUAAAGCCCUUUUGUUGGGAAAGAAAAGCAGCAGGUUAAUACCCCGCUGUUCUGACGGUACCCAAAGAGUAAGCACCGGCUAACUUCGUU
rnacentral:rRNA from 1 species